rnacentral:rRNA from 1 species
UACGAAGGGGGCUAGCGUUGCUCGGAAUCACUGGGCGUAAAGCGCACGUAGGCGGCUUGUUAAGUCAGGGGUGAAAUCCUGGAGCUCAACUCCAGAACUGCCUUUGAUACUGAGGAUCUUGAGUUCGGGAGAGGUGAGUGGAACUGCGAGUGUAGAGGUGAAAUUCGUAGAUAUUCGCAAGAACACCAGUGGCGAAGGCGGCUCACUGGCCCGAUACUGACGCUGAGGCACGAAAGCGUGGGGAGCAAACAGG